GCCUUAUGGUCCUCAUCUAAUACUUCUUGUGUCAACAUUGGUGUCUCUUCCAUAUCAAUAGAUGUACUAUUUAAACAUUGGUCUUUUCUCUCUCCUGUCAGUCAGCCCCUCAUAAAAAUACGAAAGGACUGACUCAUUCCUAUGCUCUCAUCCAGCCGGCAGGAAGUGACCUUGCUUUUGCAAGGACAGCCAGUGGAGGGAAGAGGUACAGCACAAUCCCCCAUGCCUUCCACAUCGCUGAUGUGAAUCUGAACACAGGGAAUGGCCCUGAAAGGAAACCACUAUGGGGAACACAUUCAUGCCAAUGGUGAGGACAAGCUCCAAUCAAGUAGAGGCCAGCCAGCCUGGCUCACCUGACAAAGCUUUUAACAGACUUGGAAGGAAGGGAAAGGCCUGUGUACAUUCAAAAGCCAAAGAAGGAGUGAAGGAAGAGCCAUGUUAACGGAAUGGAACUACCAUUAAUUGAGCACCUACUGGGCUCCCAGCACUGAGCUACCGUUGGAUUCAUCCAUCUUCCUCGCCCCCUGAGCAACGAUCACUCACCGGGAGCAUCAGCCUCGCUGCUGUUUGUGAAGCAACACCAGCUCCUCCAUAUCAGCCUUCUACACCUGCUUGCAGCCUCGUUGGACCAUUCUUCAUCUGAACAACUCCUCAUUAAUCAGACUUGAAAUGAAGCAUCCCAUCCUUUAGAAGGCCUCUGUGGAUCUUCAAGGCUGAAUAAAGCCUCUCCUGUACUAUCUGAGAAACUUGCCUGCAUCCUUC